UAAAAAUUUAUUGACUCCUAAUCUCAGAA
rnacentral:piRNA from 1 species